UACGGAGGAUCCAAGCGUUAUCCGGAAUCAUUGGGUUUAAAGGGUCCGUAGGCGGUUUAGUAAGUCAGUGGUGAAAGCCCAUCGCUCAACGGUGGAACGGCCAUUGAUACUGCUAGACUUGAAUUAUUAGGAAGUAACUAGAAUAUGUAGUGUAGCGGUGAAAUGCUUAGAGAUUACAUGGAAUACCAAUUGCGAAGGCAGGUUACUACUAAUGGAUUGACGCUGAUGGACGAAAGCGUGGGUAGCGAACAGGA
rnacentral:rRNA from 1 species